rnacentral:lncRNA from 1 species
UCGCCAUCGAAAUGACUACCGCUACAAUCGACCAAUCAACCAUGACUUGAGCCUGUCGCCUGCAGUCCGUGGAGAAAAGUAGCUUUUUUUUCUGGUAAAGUUACACUGGGUACAUGGGCCACAUCAAUAAUAUACCGUCCGGCACAUUGUCUAGGAAAGUACUACGUGGCUGUGGUGGAAGAUCAGACCUCACCACCAUUUGACUGAUGUUGGGGGCGUGUCUGAAGACUACCCGUCGGGGUUCUUUAAUCGUCUUUUCCAGUUGUGGAUCAAUGAUCAAGACGUGCCAGUGUUUUAAUGAUGUGGUCCAACUGUUUACCAAGUGGGGAGAACUGAAGGAAGCAUUGAACAUGUUGGUCUGGAGGGAGGGAGGUUUGGGGAGUACUGAAGGAAGCAUUGAACAUGUUGGUCUGGAGGGAGGGAGGUUUGGGGAGUACUGAAGGAAGCAUUGAACAUGUUGGUCUGGAGGGAGGGAGGUUUGGGGAGUACUGAAGGAAGCAUUGAACAUGUUGAUCUGGAGGGAGGGAGGUUUGGGGAGAACUGAAGGAAGCAUUGAACGUGUUGGUCUGAAGGGAGGGGAGGUUUGGGGAGUACUGAAGGAAGCAUUGAACAUGUUGCUCUGAAGGGAGGGAGGUUUGGGGAGUACUGAAGGAAGCAUUGAACAUGUUGGUCUGGAGGGAGGGAGGUUUGGGGAGAACUGAAGGAAGCAUUGAACACGUUGGUCUGAAGGGAGGGGAGGUUUGGGGAGAACUGAAGGAAGCAUUGAACAUGUUGAUCUGGAGGGAGGGAGGUUUGGGGAGAACUGAAGGAAGCAUUGAACGUGUUGGUCUGGAGGGAGGGAGGUUUGGGGAGUACUGAAGGAAGCAUUGAACGUGUUGGUCUGGAGGGAGGGAGGUUUGGGGAGUACUGAAGGAAGCAUUGAACGUGUUGGUCUG